CAGUGCUUGGAAAUCAAACCUAGGGCUUCACACAUGCUGGACCAAGCGCCCUAGUGCACACGAGGGAUUCAACACGUGUCUGGGCUGCACAGUCCCCGGAGACGCUGUGAGCAGCCCCGCCUGUGCCCGCUGUGCCUGCCCCCACAGCAAGACCCCAGUUGGCUCACCUAACUGAAGCACCCAGAGAGCGGCUAACCACAAUCCUGGAGAUAGAAAUCAGGGAUGAACCGGGGACAGCUGCAAGUGCUACAGUUAUGUUGUGACAAAUGCCACUGCCAAUCCGGCUGGAGAUGUGACCACCACGUGGUCCCUGGAGACCAGAUUCUCAGGGUACCAGAGAUCAAACUCGGGCCUCAUACAUUCUAGGCAAGUACUCUACCAGCAAGUUACCACCCAGACGUAUCUCUCUUCAUUUUAUGUCUUUCUUCCUUGUUACUAUAUAUUUUAAAUGUCAAUAUUACCAUUCAGUAUUUUUCACUCCUACCCACCUGUAACAAAAUAAAAUAAAAUGUUUAAAGAAAAUAGAGUGUAUCAGCUACAGGCAUCAGUUAUUUUCAAAAAUGUUAGCCAUUUAUGAGGACAACUUUUUGUAGGUACAAUAAAUCUGAUUGAUUUUAUUACACAUCUUAGUUCAGAAUCACUUUUACAUUCCUAGACAAAGAGAUGAUACAAAUAAAUAUCAAUUGUAAAACUUAGAGCCCCUAGUAUUGGCAUGUUCUUUGUCUAAAAGUAGCCAAAGAGAAGGUCAAGAUCAAUAGUAACUACAAGGAGCCAUAAAGCCCACCACCUUCUGCCCACCUGGGACCACUCCUUUUAUAAAUAACCUCAAAAGCAUUUCAUUCAAGACACAAAGGCAGAGAGAAAAGAGCCAGAUUUAAAUCAUACAAGACCUGCCUCAUGUGGUGGACAAUCGCCAGGCCCACUGUUCGAAUCUAGUUCUCUCUGAGCAUUUUCAGGAUGGCUUUAGGGUACAUUAAAAGCCUGGACUUCAUCUACUGAUGGUGUGUGGAUGGUUCAAGGAGGGUUCACAGUACACCCCGGCUUCAAAUGGGGCUGUGAGGCAGAACUGACUCGCUGUGCUACAGGGAGUCGACGCUUCUCAGAAACUUGGCAACAAAUCUACAUUCAGUGAGGGAGGACUUACAAGAGUCAGACAGGAAAAGCAGAGAGCAGCCCACGCCUGAGCUGCAGAACACUCUGGUGCCCUUUGUUGAGGAGAUAUGAGUGGAGCAAGUCAAGCAGCAUGCAGGCAGUGGACGGGGAACCAUUCAACGUUAUGUCAGAGGCUUAAGAAAGUGCUUCAUGCCUAUGAUUUGUGGCCUUGGGUUCUGAAUCCAGGGGUCUGGGAGAUGUGUGACUGUAAAAAUAUGAAGCCAGAUACAUUCUACUGAGGAGAGCAAAAGGGAGUCUGGCGAGGUUGCAGAGUCUCAAACUCCUCCCAGAUGGUCUUCUGAGGUCCGACUUCACUAGCUGCUGGCAUGAAGGCUCUCCACCAUUCUGGAACAUUCCAGCACAAAUGCCCUCAGUGGGCUUGCUAUGUCCUCUACACAUGUGGUUCAAUUUGGAAGCCAAAGCAGCACCAUUCUGGUGGCAGCAAUACGUCUUUCCAUGUGCUCUUUCUGAAUAUUUAUCGGAUCCAUUUUGAGAGAAGAAAAGCACCAGAGACUGCUUAGUAAAGGAUAGCUUCAUCUCCAAGUGAGUGUCCUUUUACUGAGUGUCCCCAGACCACCAAAUGAACACAGCAGAGAACCAGACAAGCUUGUUUUAGUAUUCAGGUCUGUCAACCCGGCUUUCCUCUCUGCCUUCUCGAAAACGUUCUGUGUCAUUUAACUACCCCUGCUCACACAGCCACCUCAGGACACCAGUGUAAAGGUAUAAUGGGACCCACAGUUUCAGUUCUCUGAUUUGCUACAUGAUUCUUUUCAGCCUACA